GUAGGGAAUCUUGCGCAAUGGGCGAAAGCCUGACGCAGCCAUGCCGCGUGAAUGAUGAAGGUCUUAGGAUUGUAAAAUUCUUUCACCGGGGACGAUAAUGACGGUACCCGGAGAAGAAGCCCCGGCUAACUUCGUGCCAGCAGCCGCGGUAAUACGAAGGGGGCUAGCGUUGCUCGGAAUUACUGGGCGUAAAGGGAGCGUAGGCGGAUAGUUUAGUAAGAGGUGAAAGCCCAGGGCUCAACCUUGGAAUUGCCUUUGAUACUGGCUAUCUUGAGUAUGGAAGAGGUAUGUGGAACUCCGAGUGUAGAGGUGAAAUUCGUAGAUAUUCGGAAGAACACCAGUGGCGAAGGCGACAUACUGGUCCAUUACUGACGCUGAGGCUCGAAAGCGUGGGGAGCAAACAGGAUUAGAUACCCUAGUAGUCC
rnacentral:rRNA from 1 species